UAGUUUCAGCUUUGCUGCUCCUUUUAGAAACAAGCUAUUGAUGCACUCUGGGUCUACGUAACCUAUUGAAAAACAUAGCAGCUCUUUGGGCAGAGUUAACCAGGAGAGCAGACUGUGUAGACUCAAGACAACCCUCCACCAGUAAUGAGUGUUUGAGAAUCUUAUGUCAACUCUUCACCUCCAUGUUCUUCAUCAGUCUUUCUGAAAGCUGAACAGAAAAGUAAAACCAAGGUCUCUUUGACAACACUGUAGCUGACAAUUUCAGGAGGAUUAUUAAUGGAUAUCUCAACUGUGGUGAAAAUGUCUCCAAGCUGACACUCGUGUCACACUCUGGUGUACAACUGGAAUUGAUGAGGCUGGAAUGAGGUGAGGCAACUAUGGCUUUACUCCAUUUUACAGAAGCAGCAUUGUUGCAGAGAUGAAGCAGCUUUGCCUCAGCUACAGUGCAAGUCUGAAACAGUUGGAAGCUGAACCCAAAACCUGAGUCUGCAUCUGAAUUACAAGUUUGUCUUAAAUCAUGAGGAUUUAUACAAGAACUAUCCCUGAAUAAAAAAAGAGAAACAUUGUGUGAAGCAUUAGCCUCUUGAUUCAUGACCUCAUGGCUGAGAUUCCCUGGAAGUACCUGGAGCGACUGGAUUGUGAGCUGUCAUCCUGAUAAAGGACAAAACAAUCUUUUUGACUGUGAGUACCAGCCAACAUGGAUUUGUCAAGAAUAAAUCACCUCCUUGCUGUCAGGAACUCCAGUAAACUUUCCCUGAGAGAAGAGUCACCUGGAAACCACAGAGGUAAAAAUGAAUAUUUGCCCACUACCUAUCCAAGGAGAUGCCACCAGGAGGAAACCUGGGACAAGACCCUCUCUGCUCAGUGGCAGGUGCUGCAGAGCCAUCCCCUCCAUGAAUUCCUGACUUGCACAACACAGCACAAAUGUUCUGGGCUGCCAGAGAGCUCCCACAGGUCCCAGCACAUCCCAGGGCACAGUCUGUGUUCUGUAUAUUUUGGAAUAUCUCUCUUGGAAGAAGACUGGCCCUGAAGAAGUGUAAAGCAUUGCAGGUGCCAUGAGGAGAAAGUGGUGAUGUUACCUGUUUUGAUGACUGCUCUAUAAUACAAGAGGUACUUGGAGAAACAAGAAGGGUGAUCAUGUGGUGCCAAGCUGCGUCUCUCGAUGAUUAAAGGCUCUGGGUCCUGCCCCAAGAACUGGUUUUAUGUUUGGGUGCAAUUGGAAUAGGGCAAAAGUGGGCUCUGAUGUAAGUGGGCUGCUCAGGAGAGAAAGGGCCUGGCCUCCUCAGUCCUAUUAAAAAAGAUUACUUGUGAUUUGAAAGCUCUUUGGAGUCCCGGGGGAGCUGUGCCAAUUCUGCUUUUUAAAAAAAGGAGAGGUGCAAGCUCAGAGGCUGAGCUUAUUUUGCAUCAUUUUUGGUUUAGCACAAGGAGAGGUGAGCAUACCUGCGUGUGCACGCCUCUUGCCUGCUGCACCCAAGUUUCAAGUUCCCUGCAGACCACUGCAUUCCUCAAUCAUCCCCUGGUGCUGCUGUAUUACCUUCACCUGUAUCCCUUCAGCUUCUCUCUGGAGACUUGCUUUUCAUGGAUAACUUUAGGCCUGACCUCGCAGUUACUGGUACUGUGAGCUUCAGCUUCCUGUUCAAAAACUGCUCUCAGGACACAGCUCUGUAGCAAUGAGGUGAGUCUCAUGGAUCUCUCUUGCUCUUCCCACCUGCUGUAGCCACUGUUCUGUAGGAUCAUCACAUGCUCUGGACUCUCACAUCUCUUCUCCUCUUGAUGUGCUCACCCAGCAAGGAAUACCCUGGACAAAUGAAUGCCGGUAACUGGGAGGCUGUUGCUCUAAGAGCGUUAAUCACCAUGGACCUCAUUAAUGAAUUUUUGUGAUUGCAGUUGCAGUAAAUUAAAAGACUUUUGUAUGUUCCCACUCCUGCUAUUGACAGAUGGAAGUUUUAAUUAACAUUUAGGCCUCAUACUCUCUCUAGGCAGUUGCAUUUGGUGUGAUGCCCCUCCUCUGCCCUUGUGCAGCAGUGAAGUGCAGAUAGACUUUCUGCACGUUUCUGCUCUUGCUGCUGCCACAGGGGACAUGUCCCUUAUCCUAAGGAUCAUCUCACCUACGCUUACAGUUGGCAUCUGUUUGGUCCUUAAU